rnacentral:lncRNA from 1 species
ACUACACCCUCCCCCGCCCACCGCCUCAGCAACCAACCUCCAGGGAGGGGAAAGGGGGCAGAAGUUUGAGUUAAUAACUAAUAGCUAAAGAUGUAAACAAUAAGCCUCCAUAAAACCCCAAAAGGACUGGACUGGUUUCUGAGAGCUUCCAGGUUGUUGAGCACGUGGAGGUUCUGGGAGGGUCCACACCCAGAGAAGGCAUGGAAGCUGACCCCUUCCCCAUACCUUGCUCUUUGCAUCUCUUCCAUUUGGCUGUUCCCGAGUUGUAUACUUUGUAAUAAGUGGGAUUUCCACCCAACAACAAUUCAGCCACACUGCUUCACACAUCUAGAAUCCAUCCAAAAUUGUAAAGGCUUUGUGGCACUACAGUGAAACAGGCAAGAACAUCUUCCAAACAUCCAGCACAAGAGCACACAGGAGGCCGGCAUAAUCACGAAUUGCAGCUGUCUGAAGGGCAGUCACAUAAAAGAGGAGAAGCUUCACCUUUGCUUCACAAGGCACAUCUUGAACCAGGGAUGGAAAUUACAGAGAGGCCAAAACCAGCUCGGUGUGAGCAGGACUGGUAACAGACUGGCCAAGCAACAGAAGGGGCUGCCCUGUGAAGAAGCAAGCUCUCUGUCAAUGGGAGGUGCAAGCUGAGCCUGCACUACCUUUUGUCACGGUUGCUAUGGAAAAGAUUAAGAGCCCGGAUAGCCCUUCCUCCUCUGGGGGCCUGGGCAUCAGCAAGUCGGAUGGCAGUGGAAGGUGGAGAAAUGGAAUCCUGCUGGGGGCUCAGGAGGCCUGCCCCCUGAUGCUGCCGUGCACUGCAGAUGUCCUUGAUGAAGAGAAUGAAUGGAAGCUGUCUUUCUCAAUGGCAAAAGGGCAUACUGCUGUUAUUGUCAGUGAGGGGUCAGUAGUUUAAAUGAUGAAACUCUGGGGAUCAGCGUAAAGUAAACCAACAUACUGCAUGUAAGUAUCAAGUAAAUGAGCAGAGACAGCCCCUGGUUUACAAACACCUGACUUAAGCAUCGUCCAUCCUACAGGACAGGGAAGGAGGAAGAAGCUUCGAGAGGCUGGAACAGUUGAGGGAGCGCUGACACGGUAAAGGCCACUUUGCUCAUCAUCACCAGGCGUGCUGCCGAAAAUUUCCACUCUGUUUACUCCCAAGACCUUACUCCUACUAUGUGGAGACACAUUUGAAUAAAAAAUUGGCCUCUUUUCAAAGUCAAAAUUCUGA